AUAGCCAAGGGUUUCGGCCGAAUUUGAAUCAUCAAAUCGCUCAAGUUUGAGAGCGAAUCGAGGGAAACCAAUAAGGGGCUUUUGAUCCUUGAGGGAAGAGGAUCAUUUCUGGAGAUUUUGGGAAUUUUUGGGGCGGUAUAGAUGUGUUUUUGCAUUCGAUCGUAUGUAUAUAUAUGUAUAUAUAUCGAGUGAAGAUGAAAUCGGGUUGUAGAGUGAUCGAUUGAGCGAUCUAAUAAGGGGAUUUUGGUCGCAAGGCGAUGGGUAAUUGAUCUGGAAAGUUUCGUGUCAAUCGGAGUUCAAAUCGAAGGUCAAUUUGGCUCGCCGGAAAACGCAAAGUUUCGCCCGAGCUGGACUGUAAAUCGUCAAAUCGGGCAGCUUCUGGUAAGUUUUUCGGCCAUGUGAGGGUUCCAUUGUGAUCAAAUUGAAGAGAGCUUCAAGAUGGUUUCUUCAGAUCAGCCAUCGGAGAAGGUCGCCGGUCGCCGUCGCCUGAGAAGAUGACCGGAGGGUAUCAUUAAAUCUCGAGGUUGAACUAGAGAGCGCCUGGCACGAUAAUCGAGGUCGAUCAGGCACGCAUUUCGAGGAAUCUUGAAGUUAGCCCAAGGUGAACACAGUGGCGCCAAGGGAAAGAAUGUCAUCGAGAUGUAGCUGCUAUGAUUAGUUUUAAUAGGUUUUGUCUAUGAAUACGAUGUUCAGAGGUUAUGUAAUAUUUUGAUAUUUUCAUGUGAAACAUCGAUUCGGUUAUUAUUUGUAAAGAAAAUUGUCAGUUAUAUAUCAUUGAGGUUUC